rnacentral:rRNA from 1 species
GUGGGGAAUAUUGGGCAAUGGGGGAAACCCUGACCCAGCAACGCCGCGUGAGGGAAGAAGGUUUUCGGAUUGUAAACCUCUGUCCUUGGUGACGAAGGAAGUGACGGUAACCAAGGAGGAAGCCCCGGCUAACUACGUGCCAGCAGCCGCGGUAAUACGUAGGGGGCAAGCGUUGUCCGGAAUGACUGGGCGUACAGGGCGUGUAGGCGGCCGAUUAAGUCUGGAGUGAAAGUCCUGCUUUCAAGGUGGGAAUUGCUUUGGAGACUGGUUGGCUUGAGUGCGGAAGAGGUAAGUGGAAUUCCCAGUGUAGCGGUGAAAUGCGUAGAGAUUGGGAGGAACACCAGUGGCGAAGGCGACUUACUGGGCCGUAACUGACGCUGAGGCGCGAAAGCGUGGGGAGCGAACAGGAUUAGAUACCCGAGUAGUCC